UGCAACCACUUAUGGUACUAUUGUUCAAGUUGUGGAGGUGACCCAGAUGUAAGUUUAACAUCUUGCACUGCUUACUAAUUAAUAUUACUACAUUGUAAAAACAUCUUAUAUUUUUAAAAUUCCUAUUAGGACUUGACCUGGAAAUGGAAGUCGAUACUUCAUCACAUCUGUGGAGAACAUAGCUGGACUCAGGAUGGUAUGCAGCAUAGAUGUGUACACAGUGAGUUCAUUCCUGAGCAACAGAGACAGAAGAGGUGGAUUGAAAAAGACUCUCAGGUGUACCACACCCUGGAGACAAUUGUCUUGAACAAAGGUCUCCUGAAGGACCUGAGCCAAAUGGCCCUGUUCAAGUAUACAGGCAAGUUAUUACAACUACACAAUGCGUGUGUAUGUGUCAAGUGAUCCUUGUGUAACACUGCACAUAAUAUAUAUGUUUUUUUUUACAGGCACACUUGAAGUUUUCCACUCAGUCCUACUAAAGUACUGCCAGAAGAACCGGCACAUCCAUUUCUCCUCCAUGUUAGCUCGUACGCAGCUGGCCAUACUAGACCCUGACGAAAAUGUUCAGCGUAAACAGGCCACAACCACUACUAGCAUACCUUGGUACAACAUUGUGUUUUCCAAACACUCCAAAGACUGGGUUGUCCGGAAACUUUUCGAACCCACUACACCAACAUUUAGAGAGGAUCUGGUUCGGAGAGUUGUGGAAUGUCUGAAGGAUAAACAGAUUACUUUUAAGGACCGGUCAUCACAUGUGACACUUCCCAGUCUGCCUGCAAAUAUUGCAACCAAACCAAAACCUGACAAACAGGAAGUCAUUUCAAAGCACCAGUCAAGAUUCAGCCACUGAAUGUUCUGUACAUUUCUUUUUCUUUUCUUUUUUUAAAAAAAACUGAUCAUAUUGUGUCUUCUUAUGACAGUCAAUGCAGUAUUAUUCAGUGUUUUAUAGUAUAGUUAGUUUUAUUUAAUGUUUGACAAUUCUUUCGACUUAUUACCUAUUUAAAAUCUUAUUUGUUUUGAUUUGGUUUCUGAUUUUACUCUUGUAUCUUUUGUUCCAUUGUGAAAUUGUGCAAUGUACCUACAUAAGCACCACAGUAUAUGAAAUAAAAAGAACAUUACAACACA
ensembl:lncRNA